rnacentral:lncRNA from 1 species
AAGAAAAAAGAAGUCAGAAAAUGAAUGAACGUUUAGUAGUGCAGCGCGUUUUAAUUAUUGCACAUCAUUUGUUACGUUGGCUUCACAGUUUGACUGCUUGGUCAUAGAGAAUGGCUUGGUCGGCUAGGAUAUGGCCACAUGGCUUCGGAUGCCGACCAGCUGUGGACCAUCAACGACUCGAGUCCACCCACUUUCCUCCAUGGUUAGCCCCAGUGGUUAGAAUCGUGCCGAUGUGCGAGACGUGCCCGGAACAUUCAAAGAAACCUCUGUAGCUUGCGGGAAGAUAUGAGGAGUACUGUCACGGAGGUCCCACAAUGCACCUCAUCAGUCCUGCAAUCUUCACGCCUGCCCGCUGGCCUGAUAGUUUGGAUCAACAGGGGAAGUUCAAACGUCGGAGGGCGGCGAUGAAAGUGCAUGUGCUCGGAUUCGGGUACGAAGUGUGUAGGCGAUGACGCUGGCCGAGUGAUCAGAGCCAGCUGAUCAUCACGGAGCGACAGCGAAGGAGCGAACGCUGCAUGACGGAUCAAAGGUCAUCGCAGCACCAGCUGUUUGGAGAGGGUACGCAAUGCUAAGGUGUUGAACCUACUUACAACGAGGAUCACUGGCCUCGGACAAAAGCUGCUGCCGCAAGGCUGCAAAGGAGUGGCAAUGAAAUGGGCAGGAUACAUCAACAGGU